GGAGGAAAAGAAACCAACCGGGAUUGCCUUAGUAACGGCGAGUGAAGCGGCAAAAGCUCAAAUUUGAAAUCUGGUACCUUCGGUGCCCGAGUUGUAAUUUGGAGAGGGCAACUUUGGGGCCGUUCCUUGUCUAUGUUCCUUGGAACAGGACGUCAUAGAGGGUGAGAAUCCCGUGUGGCGAGGAGUGCGGUUCUUUGUAAAGUGCCUUCGAAGAGUCGAGUUGUUUGGGAAUGCAGCUCUAAGUGGGUGGUAAAUUCCAUCUAAAGCUAAAUAUUGGCGAGAGACCGAUAGCGAACAAGUACAGUGAUGGAAAGAUGAAAAGAACUUUGAAAAGAGAGUGAAAAAGUACGUGAAAUUGUUGAAAGGGAAGGGCAUUUGAUCAGACAUGGUGUUUUGUGCCCUCUGCUCCUUGUGGGUAGGGGAAUCUCGCAUUUCACUGGGCCAGCAUCAGUUUUGGUGGCAGGAUAAAUCCAUAGGAAUGUAGCUUGCCUCGGUAAGUAUUAUAGCCUGUGGGAAUACUGCCAGCUGGGACUGAGGACUGCGACGUAAGUCAAGGAUGCUGGCAUAAUGGUUAUAUGCCGCCC
rnacentral:rRNA from 2 species